AACUACUAUAUUAAUCUGUAGUGGUUCUGAAGACUACAGUGUCCCUUUAAGUGUUGCAUAGAAAAUUAGUCACUCUUUGGCUCCUUAUGACAUUUUAAAUUCACAUUUCUAACACUAGAACUGUAUCCUUGCUUAUUAUUGUCUCAAAUCUCCAUCUCUGGCUGCCGUAUGUCAUCCCCAUUCCCACAGAUAUCAUAUGGGGAACUCUAGCAACCUCACUGGGC